rfam:Anncaliia algerae PRA109 cont4.3996, whole genome shotgun sequence.
AGUAACGUGGCCGAGUGGUCUAAGGCGACUGACUCAAGAUCUGUUCCUCACGGGCGCGGGUUCGAAUCCCGCCGUUACUA